GGGGGAAACCCUGAUCCAGCAAUGCCGCGUGUGCGAAGAAGGCCUUCGGGUUGUAAAGCACUUUUGUCAGGGAAGAAAUCCUUUGGGCUAAUACCCUAGGGGGAUGACGGUACCUGAAGAAUAAGCACCGGCUAACUACGUGCCAGCAGCCGCGGUAAUUAAAAA
rnacentral:rRNA from 1 species